AUUGAACGCUGGCGGCAGGCCUAACACAUGCAAGUCGAACGGUAACAGGAAGCAGCUUGCUGCUUUGCUGACGAGUGGCGGACGGGUGAGUAAUGUCUGGGAAACUGCCCGAUGGAGGGGGAUAACUACUGGAAACGGUAGCUAAUACCGCAUAACGUCGCAAGACCAAAGAGGGGGACCUUAGGGCCUCUUGCCAUCGGAUGUGCCCAGAUGGGAUUAGCUAGUAGGUGGGGUAACGGCUCACCUAGGCGACGAUCCCUAGCUGGUCUGAGAGGAUGACCAGCCACACUGGAACUGAGACACGGUCCAGACUCCUACGGGAGGCAGUAGUGGGGAAUAUUGCACAAUGGGCGCAAGCCUGAUGCAGCCAUGCCGCGUGUAUGAAGAAGGCCUUCGGGUUGUAAAGUACUUUCAGCGGGGAGGAAGGGAGUAAAGUUAAUACCUUUGCUCAUUGACGUUACCCGCAGAAGAAGCACCGGCUAACUCCGUG
rnacentral:rRNA from 1 species